UAUACCAUAUCCUCUGAAAGAUUCAAGUUUAUUUACUUGUUUGACUAAAAAUUUUAGAAAAAAAUUAAAAUUUAUGGAUGAUGGAAUAUAAAAUGUAUAUCCUAUAAUAGAAUAUAAGGCAAUUGCUCAUAUAUCCCUGAGAAGUUCUCCACUUUCGUAUUUACUCCUCUUAGAGGGCUAAUAUUAAAAAUACAUUUUUAAAGUUCAAAGUUCUUUCAAAUAUAUUCCUAAAGUUAAAUUUUUUUAGUGAGCUGUUAAGAACAACUGUUAUCUCUAUACUGUACUUCAAAAUAUAUCAUUUUAUCGUUACCAAGUUUUCUUAUUUAUUAUUAAGUUAUAGACAAAAAAAAUAUUUUAACUUUUUACACUUUUAAAUAUACCCUUCUAUCAUCACUAUUUUUUCUUAUUUACCUUUGAAUUAGAGAUAAAAUAGGUAUUUUACUAUUUUUUAACUAUGGUUGAAAUUUAAUUCAGAUUUAAUUCGAGAUGACUUAAUGAGCACUAACAAUAGUGACUAGUGAGAGUAUUUUUGAAUAAUGAAAAAAUAUAUGAAAAGUAUAUUUGAAACAAAAGAACAGUAGAUUUAAAUAAGAUAUUUCUAAAAUUUUGAUGGGUAUAUAU
rnacentral:lncRNA from 1 species